rnacentral:rRNA from 1 species
UGGGGAAUAUUGCACAAUGGGCGCAAGCCUGAUGCAGCCAUGCCGCGUGUGUGAAGAAGGCCUUCGGGUUGUAAAGCACUUUCAGCGGGGAGGAAGGCGAUAAGGUUAAUAACCUUGUCGAUUGACGUUACCCGCAGAAGAAGCACCGGCUAACUCCGUGCCAGCAGCCGCGGUAAUACGGAGGGUGCAAGCGUUAAUCGGAAUUACUGGGCGUAAAGCGCACGCAGGCGGUCUGUCAAGUCGGAUGUGAAAUCCCCGGGCUUAACCUGGGAACUGCAUUCGAAACUGACAGGCUAGAGUCUUGUAGAGGGGGGUAGAAUUCCAGGUGUAGCGGUGAAAUGCGUAGAGAUCUGGAGGAAUACCGGUGGCGAAGGCGGCCCCCUGGACAAAGACUGACGCUCAGGUGCGAAAGCGUGGGGAGCAAACAGG